UACGAAGGGGGCAAGCGUUGUCCGGAAUUACUGGGCGUAAAGGGCGCGUAGGCGGCUGACCAAGUCAGGUGUGAAAUUCCCGGGCUCAACCUGGGGGCUGCGCUUGAUACUGAUUGGCUUGAAUGCGGGAGAGGAUAGUGGAAUUCCCAGUGUAGAGGUGAAAUUCGUAGAUAUUGGGAAGAACACCGGUGGCGAAGGCGGCUAUCUGGCCCGUAAUUGACGCUGAGGCGCGAAAGCGUGGGGAGCAAACAGG
rnacentral:rRNA from 1 species